UACGUAGGGCGCAAGCGUUGUCCGGAAUUAUUGGGCGUAAAGAGCUCGUAGGCGGCUCGGUAAGUCAGGUGUCAAAUCCUCAGGCUCAACCUGGGGCUCCACCUGAUACUGCUGUGGCUAGAGUCCGGUAGGGGAGCGUGGAAUUCCUGGUGUAGCGGUGAAAUGCGCAGAUAUCAGGAGGAACACCAGCGGCGAAGGCGGCGCUCUGGGCCGGAACUGACGCUGAGGAGCGAAAGCGUGGGUAGCAAACAGG
rnacentral:rRNA from 1 species